rnacentral:rRNA from 1 species
GACGAACGCUGGCGGCGUGCUUAACACAUGCAAGUCGAACGGAAAGGCCCUGCUUUUGUGGGGUGCUCGAGUGGCGAACGGGUGAGUAACACGUGAGUAACCUGCCCUUGACUUUGGGAUAACUUCAGGAAACUGGGUCUAAUACCGGAUAGGAGCUCCUGCUGCAUGGUGGGGGUUGGAAAGUUUCGGCGGUUGGGGAUGGACUCGCGGCUUAUCAGCUUGUUGGUGGGGUAGUGGCUUACCAAGGCUUUGACGGGUAGCCGGCCUGAGAGGGUGACCGGCCACAUUGGGACUGAGAUACGGCCCAGACUCCUACGGGAGGCAGCAGUGGGGAAUAUUGCACAAUGGGCGGAAGCCUGAUGCAGAAACGCCGCGUGCGGGAUGACGGCCUUCGGGUUGUAAACCGCUUUCGCCUGUGACGAAGCGUGAGUGGCGGUAAUGGGUAAAGAAGCACCGGCUAACUACGUG